GGCGAACGCUGGCGGCGUGCUUAACACAUGCAAGUCGAGCGGUAAGGCCCUUUCGGGGGUACACGAGCGGCGAACAGGUGAGUAACACGUGGGUGACCUGCCCUCAGCUCUGGGAUAAGCCUGGGAAACUGGGUCUAAUACUGGAUAUGACUCCACGGUGCAUGUCGUGGGGUGGAAAGCCUUGUGCGGCUGAGGAUGGGCCCGCGGCCUAUCAGCUUGUUGGUGGGGUGAUGGCCUACCAAGGCGACGACGGGUAGCCGGCCUGAGAGGGCGACCGGCCACACUGGGACUGAGACACGGCCCAGACUCCUACGGGAGGCAGCAGUGGGGAAUCUUGCGCAAUGGGCGAAAGCCUGACGCAGCGACGCCGCGUGAGGGAUGACGGCCUGCGGGUUGUAAAGCACUUUCAGUAGGGAAGAAACCCGAACGUGCUAAUAUCACUCGGUCUUGACGUUACUUAC
rnacentral:rRNA from 1 species